AUUUUCUUUCAAACUUAAAGAUUUUGUCCAUAGAAGUUUCAAGUUUUUACCACUGAAAGCUUUCCAUGCGAAGCCAUGCAACAAGAGAUCAACAAAGAAAGCACGUAGAGGGGAACCCAAACAUUUAACAAAAAAAAAAAAGACUACUUGUCUAAACCAGAUUAUGAACAGUUUAAUUUCUACAAAAUAAUAGCUGCUGCCCAUUUUUCAUAUGAAAUGUGAUGCAUCUUCGGCAUUCAAAGGUAAGAGAGUGAGAUUGUAAUAGUCUGUAUCCAUGGGUAAAUGGAUAUCAGUUACAGAACCCAUCACUCCCCAAUCAUCCACUGGAAUUAAAUUGUAUUGAUCUCCAAUUUGUGAAUCAUUCUCAUCGAUUUUCUUUGCCGAAUGAGCUUCAAUGUUCACAUCUGGCGUGCCAGCCAAAAGGGCCUCAAUGGGAGACUUGAUAUUCAAGUUUUCCUGAGAAGUGAACUUCACUUCCAGGAUUGGAGCUCCAAAAUCCACUUUAGUAGCAGCCCUUGACAAUUCAACAACAUCCUGCAGAAUGUCUAGGUUAGGCCCUUCAUCUGUGACUUCUAUACAAGUGAUAAUUUCAUUUGAAACAGCAACUUCCUUGAUAGCAUCUGAGCUACUGUCAGUUUGAUUUCCAGAAAAUUGUUCCAAACUAUCAGUUUUACCCAGAGUCGAAAUGUUGCUUGUUCCAUUGCCAACUUCUCCAUUUUGUAUAUCAUCAGUUAUCUGAUAAGAACCAGUCCUUGCAAUAUCAUUUGCAGCUGGCACUGUGUGGUCAAAACAAGUACCCUGGGUAUCACCUUCAUCCCCCUCACUGUCCUGCAGCUGUUCACCAACUCCUAUAUCCGUUUUCAGACAGUAGUUAUCAUUAGGAUACUUCAUUGCAUUCUCUUCACUUUCUAAAGAAGAAAUAUUGGAUACAGAUGAAAAUGAAAGUCUCUUCGGUAACUCUGUCCCUUCGGGUUCACUGAAACCAGUGGGAUGUUCUGUGCUUAUUUCGCAAUGACCUUUUGGGGAAACUGUAUUGUCGUCAUUAUUUCCUUCUCCAUUUGGAAACUCAGGAGCUUUAAAUGCAAGAGUUUUUGAAUAUCUUGGGGACUGGAUUGAAGUCGAAGAUACGAAUCCAGCAAGUGCAGAUGCUAGAGCAUCAUCAAUUGACAUAACAUGCCUUUGCUUCUCCUUUGGAGAUUCCAUCACUGGUUCCACUGCAUCAUCUUCUUCCUCAUCAUCAAAAUUUGAAAACUCUGGAGCAGUAACUACAAGACUAGGAUGUGACUUUGAAGUAUUCACAGAAACAGGGGUGGCAUCAGAGAGAAUGGAUGACACAGCUGGAAGUGAAUCCUUCUUACUGGCAUCACAAGCUGCAUAAUUAAGAUCCACAUAACCACUGUUAUAAAGGGAAUUGGUCUCUGAUUCACUGCAUGAAAAUUCAGGUGCAGAUAUUCUUGUGCAAGAAAGCAAUCCAGAAUUCUGGGGUUUCUUCGUGAGCACUUCAAGUUGCUGCUCUACUCUUUGGAGCCUCUCAUCAAUGCUUCUUAUGGGCUUCAGCAUACAAUCCUCAAACUGCAAAAAGAGAUAUUCUAUUCUGGUAACUCGAGAAACAAGCUGGUUUAGAACACUUUCAAUUUGAUUGUGUGAUAAUUCAGGCUUGCUCUCAGUAUCUGAAACUUGUGGAGGAAUCUCCAGCUUGGCACCAGGCAUAACUGCUUCUUGCACCUGGACUCCCUGCUGGUAAAUUGAAUCAGAUUUUCCUUCCUGCUGAAUUUCAUUUCCAGCAUCAAUGGGAUCAGUUGGUUUUCCCUCAAGUUUGUCUGACUUCCACCUAUUCAUCCUAUCAGAAUCAUAUUUAUCUUGUGCUAGGCCAACACCCUUUGUUUUAGAUAACUGCAAAAAGGUAGGCAUUAGCACAGCCAUAAGUGAACUUCCAGCAGAGUUUUCUACUGGACCCACUUUAUUAUCCAAAUCAGCUGCAUCAACAGGAUCAGCAAACAUGUAGACUUCAUCAAUACAAACGCAAGAUUUAUUCUGAAGUGAAAGUAGCCUCAGCGUAAUGGAUGCGCAUGGGUUUGCAUCAGUUAUAUCUGCUGUAGCCUCAUACAAAUCCUGAAAGAUUUAUUCAAUCAGAAAUAUAUUAUGAUAAAAAUGAAGAUCCAAUCGUGUUUUCACAUUUUAAUGUUUUAAUCUGAUUUUCAUUUUCAAAAUACAUACUUUCCCUUAAAAUUUCCUUCAUCUGCAACAUGUUUCAUAAAAGAGGAAAAACUAUUGUUUAGUCUAUCAAACAACAUGACCAGUAUACAUUUAUCAAACUUCAACAACCAUUUGUAGUGAUCCAUUGCCAUCAAAUAGAUAAUUCCACUUCCGCUCUGAUGUUGUAGCAUCACUAUUAUUGUUUUUUGGCCACAACAUCAUAAAACUGUGAACCCACAGUAUUAAAACAUCAAGAAAAAAUGACAUAUUACACUUUGCUUUGAUAAGAAAGCAAAUUCAGUACCUGUGGCUUCGAGCCUCUCCCUUGGCUUGUAUCAGAAUGUGAUGACAGAGAACUGUUCAUGUUGGCAAGCUGAGGAUCAGGAACUUUCACUUCAACCCAGUCAUCUUCAUUGGUGGUCACGCUACUGCCAUUUCUUAUUCUUUCUUCAGCUAGUUCUUUGGUAGAGCGCUUCUGAUGUGCCAAAACAGCUUCUUCAAUACCAGUUGCACGCAGCACAUCUUCAUCUCUAACUGCAAUACCACAGCGAACAGUACACAGAUACUCACUGCUACACUGCAACUCAGAGGCAUAAUAUAUUUCAUAAACUCGAGAAGUACUUCGAACAUAAACCUGCCGCACCUCAUGUUUUUGAGCAAAAGUAAUUGUGAUUUCGCAGGAAGUGGAAUCAGGUGAAGGAGGAUACAAGAUAAGAGGGGAUUUAGCGGCUGAACUCAUAGUGGAGGAUUGAUCAUGAUUAUCAUCCUUGUCGUCGUCUACAAGAGAAAGAGAGGACUCGAAGGUGACGGAAUUAUCGAGACAGCCACCGGCAACGAUCCAGUUUGUUGCAGAGCUCCAUGAAGCAUCGUAGUUGGUAGCGGUGGUAUCCAAUGCUUCCAUUUUUUUUUUCUCUUGUUGGGGAUAUUCUGCUUUGGUUUUGUUGGCGUGGUUUUUACAGUGGAUAGCUUAAUGGCUUAUUGAGAAAGAAGAAGUCUCUGGGCAAAAGUGUAAUUUUGAGAGAGUUUUGGGGAGAAUUUGGAAAUAUACACGCUAGUAGUUGAUUACUCGUCCGUUUCUGCUAAUGGCAGAUUUAAGGGUUUUUU
rnacentral:misc_RNA from 1 species